GUCUGUGUGGCGUAAUUGGUCAGUGUAUUUGGCUGUUAACCGAAAGGAUAGUCGUUUGAGCCCAACCAGGGAUG